ACGGAGAGUUUGAUCCUGGCUCAGGAUGAACGCUAGCGGCGUGCCUAAUGCAUGCAAGUCGAACGGGAUCCUUUGGAUUCUUCUGAAGGUGAGAGUGGCGAACGGGUGAGUAACACGUUGGUGACCUGCCCCAGAGAGGGGGAUAACUAUUGGAAACGAUAGCUAAUACCCCAGAUGUCAUUGUUGUUAGAGAGUAAUGACUAAAUGCUCCGGCGCUCUGGGAGGGGCCUGCGGCCCAUCAGCUAGUUGGUAGGGUAAUGGCCUACCAAGGCAAAGACGGGUAGGGGGCGUGAGAGCGUGACCCCCCACACUGGUACUGAUACACGGACCAGAUACCUACGGGUAGCAGCAGCAAGGAAUAUUGCCCAAUGGACGCAAGUCUGAGGCAGCAACGCCGCGUGGAGGAUGAAGGCCUUCGGGUUGUAAACUCCUUUUCUGGGGGAAGAGAAAGGACGGUACCCCAGGAAUAAGUCUCGGCUAACUACGUGCCAGCAGCCGCGGUAAAACGUAGGAGGCGAGCGUUAUCCGGAUUUACUGGGCGUAAAGCGCGUGCAGGCGGUUUUCUAAGUCGGACGUGAAAGCUCCCGGCUCAACUGGGAGAGGUCGUUCGAAACUAGGAAACUUGAGGAUGGUAGAGGAGAGUGGAAUUCCCGGUGUAGUGGUGAAAUGCGUAGAUAUCGGGAGGAACACCAGUGGCGAAGGCGGCUCUCUGGGCCAUUCCUGACGCUAAGACGCGAAAGCUAGGGGAGAGAACGGGAUUAGAAACCCCGGUAUUCCUAGCCGUAAACGAUGUCAACUAGGUGUAGGGGGUAUCCAACCCCUCUGUGCUGUAGCAAACGCGUUAAGUUGACCGCCUGGGGACUACGGCCGCAAGGCUAAAACUCAAAGGAAUUGACGGGGACCCGCACAAGCAGCGGAGCGUGUGGUUU
rnacentral:rRNA from 1 species